rnacentral:tRNA from 1 species
GGUCCCGUAGCUCAGCUGGUUAGAGCGUGGUACUAAUAAUUCCUUGGAUAAGGAAUCAUCGGUGAUGCCAAGGUCGCGAGUUCGAUCCUCUCCGGGACCA